UUUGUAUGUAUGUCUGUCCUGGAACAAAAGGAAAGCACUGAAAAAUCAAAUUAAUUGGUAUUACUGAGCCUCUCCACUAACAACUCACGUGCUAUCACACGGUGCACAAUAGGAUUGAUCAACAUGCCGAAGUGCAGAUACUGAAAGAAUCUGCUCCAGAGAACAUCCAAGCAUGACCCAACACCUCCUCCAGACAAAAUCCAGGCUGGAACCAGCCAGCAAGAUUGAGCUUGCUGCUGGGAUUGUCCCAGGCCCUGAAGAGAACUGAACAGUGGUCUGGUUUGGGAGCCAUUGUGAGGAUGACAUCCUGUUGCACCUUCCAGAGGUGACACCAUGCCUGUCUCCAGAUGAUGGAGAUGCAAUGUCGCAAGUAAGAGAGGACAGCCUGUGACACAAGGAAGCAAAUAUGGUCCAAAAUUGAAGUAGCCUCUGCAGACAUUCAGAUGUUCAGAGUGGCUGUUGGCUGUAUGGUCCUUGUUUGUUUUCUAGAAUAAGUUUAUUAUUCUCACUGUUUACAUCAACCCUGAAUUUAAGCCUCAUUUCAGGACUCUUGACGUUCUAAACACAAGUGCUGCCUCAGUAGUACAACAGAGAGAUGUUAAAUUGAAGAGAACCUACAACCUGCUGGAAGAACAGCAACCUGCAAGAGUCAAGGAGUCGGCAUCUCAAACUGGAUCUGUGGUUUGCUCUCAACGCAGGCUCUUGCCUCAGAGGCGGGUGCAGGCCGCACUGCUGGGGACCACAGGCUUCGGAAGGGCGGCUGGUUGACAUGUAUUGAGUCAAUGAAGCAGAUGGUAUCGUCACAGAUGAGGAAACAGGUGCAUGGACCUGUGGCAUAAUGUGGCCCACGUGACACCCACCUCAUUGGAUUCCUGAGCCUGGGUUCUCAGAUCCUCCGGCCCCAGCUUCACAUCGCAGCCACCAGCAUCACGAUUCCCCAUGCUGCAGAUUUCUCAUCUAUGAGGUAAGCAUGAAAUGAGAUCAUAUAUUAAGGGGGCACCUGGGGGGCUCAGUGGUUGAACAUCUGCCUUUGGCUCAGGGCAUGA
rnacentral:lncRNA from 1 species